rnacentral:lncRNA from 1 species
AGUCUGAGUUUUAAUCACCAAUCCAGCUGAUUCCAAUCCUUUCUUGAAGAAUCACUAUGGUUAUAAUCCACCGUCAACCGUUCACCGGCUGGGUGACCUUGGGACUAAUCGUUGAGCUUCCUUUUUCUCAUCUGUAAAAUGGGCAUGCUGCAGACCUGCCCAGUCCACUCAACAGUAUCCCUACAAAGAUGAACAUGUAGUAUCAGAUGUGAUUGUAUUUUGCGAAGCCUCCAGUGCUGGACCUUUGUAAAGUAGUAUUAAUUAUAAGGAAACUCAGGCUUUGAGAAUUUAGGAAACUUGCUCACGGCAACCCAGCAGAGCCAAGCUAGAACCCAGCUCUGCAAUUCUGAAAGCGUGUGUCAAGAUGGAACUUCCAUCAAUCUGGGGCUCUAAGUAAUGGUGAUGAGCAGAACCUUCUUGCCCACCUACAGUAGAUAUUUAGCAUAUGUGAGAAAUAUGCUCUGCUGGGUUAAGCAAAAAGAACAAGAAGCAAGCAAAAAACCAAACAGACUGUGGCUUUCAUCAUGGUCUCUCUCUCUUGGAUCACACACUCUGGGGGAAGCUACCUGCCACUUCGUGAAGACACUCAGGCAGCUUAUGAAGAGGCAGAGUGGUCAGAGACUGAAGUAUUUGGCCAAUAGCCCAUGUGGGAUAGAGACCUGCCAACAACUGCAGGAGUGAGCUGAGAAGCUCUUCCUAUAGUCAAGCCUUCAGAUGAUGGCAGUCUUAAGAGAAACCUGGAGUCAGAACAACCCAGCUAAGCCACGCCCAGAUUCCUGACCUCCAGAAACUGCAUGAGAUAACAAAUGCUGGCCAUUUAAAGCUGCUAAAUUUGGGGGUAACUUGUUACACAACAAAAAAUAACUAAUACACACUGGCAGGGCCACAGUAUGACUUUUGUGGGCCCCAGGCACCUUUGCCUUUGUAGGUGUCUUCCUCCAAAAAUAUUAAAAGUUCUAUUUGUGACCAUGUUGAUAUAAAGACAAAUAUGAUCCAGACUGGAUUCAUUAUUAUAUAUUCAUUAUCAUUAUAUCCACUUUUGUCUUCUGAUUUUAAAAGAAAUAAAAGUUAAAACAUUUUUGUAGGCCCUGAAGUAUAGGGGCCUAGACACUGUGCCUUCCAUGUCAGAUGGAUGUCAGCCCUGCACAUGGGAAGAGCAUGGGAGGGACAUGCAGUUACUGAUGAAAGCUGAAUACCGAAGAAUUGGUUACUGGCCCUGACAGUCCUCAAGUUCAAGGAAGAAGCCAAAUACCUGGGAAUACUUAGUAUUUGGGAAAAAUCCUAUCCUCUGUGGAUCCUAUUGGGUCCUAUAUCUCAGGUAACCAGGGGAACUGAGUGCAAGCUGCUCUAAGUUAUUACUAAAAGGCAAUGACAUGACCUGCACUUGUUGGGUCCAAACCACACAGGAUCCCAUGAAAGCUGGUGUAUCAGCUAUGACUAUUCAGGUGACGUGGGCUGUGUAACACUGGGUUCUGGACUCAAUCUCUUCCUGAAGCUGAUGUCUCAUACUCACAAUUUGAAUUAAAUCUGGAGGCAGUAAAGUCUUUUGAUUCACAGACACAGAAUCUAGCAGGCUUGAGUUUAAAUCCUACCUGUGGUCCUUCCUGGCUGUGUUGUCUUUGGCAAUUUUUCAACCUCAAGCCUAAAGUUUCUCCAUCUACAGUAUACAUUCCACCAGUCAACAGCAUAAAACAUGGCCCCCCAAAAUGGCAAGUGGUUCCAUCCCAUAGACUAUCUUCAAAGUCAAAAGAGUUGUUACAAAAUUGGAGUGAGGGAUUAGAUAGUUCCACCUGAUGAAACGAUUAUAAAUAUAUGAAGUCUAUGAAGGAAAUGAUAACAUAUUACUGAAGGACGUGAAAGAAGAUCUGAAUAAAGGGACAGAUGUACUAUGUUGAUUCAGGAAAACACUCCAUUCUCCAUAAUGUAAUACAUCAAUUAAAGGAAUCAUAAUCAAAAUGUCAACAAAAUUUCUGUGCAAUUUGAGAAACUUCAAAUUCUAAAAUUUAUAUGAAAGAAAUUCCAAUAAGCCAAGAGGAAAAAUAAACCUGUCAAAAAGGAGAUAAUUCAUACAUUAGAAGAAAUAUUUUUUAAAUCUUUCUUCUAUCCUCAAAGAGAUACUAGAAGAUAUUAUACCCAUAUAUAAGAACAGGAAGCCAGAGAAAGAAACAAUAAUAGAACAAUAAAGAGUUCUUAGAAAUUAAAAAUACAGUCAUCAAAAUAAAACCUUCAGUGAAAGGUUUUGAAGAUAAGAUCUAGGAAAUCCCCUGAAAACUAAAGUUGAAAGAAGAAGAAAUGGAAAGUAUUAGAGAGAAGCUAAGAGACACAUAGAACGAAUGCAGGAGUUCCAAUAUCUG